rnacentral:lncRNA from 1 species
AUGGAAGGAACUUUAGAGAUCUUUAGUCCAGCACUUAUAUUAAGCUUCUCAGAGGAAACUGGUGAGGAGACCUAUAAUGGCUUGCUCAAGGUCAUCCAGUUUAGAGGACAAGUAGGAGCAAAUUUCUGUCUUUCAGUUGACCGAUCUUUCUACCAUGUACCCUUUUAUUUUCUAUCUAAAAAUAUUAUCUACAUCGUCCCACCUAAUGUUUUACAUAGCACUUAUUUUUAUGAUAUUGCCUUUGUGGUAUUCUUAUCGUUAAAAGAAAGGACCUUAAAAAAGAAAGCAAGGCUGUCUCGUCCAGAGCUCCUCCGCCAGGGAUGCCAGUCACCGCUUUAAGCCCAAGGGUAAGGAUAUAAUCUUUAUCAAAGAAUGUAGUAUAUUUGGAAGUAAAAUAAGUCAUAAUAACCAGUGUCAUCAACUUUUUUUGUUAAAAAAGAUUUUAUUUAUUUACUUGACAGACAGAGAUCACAAGCAGGCAGAGAGGCAGGCAGAGAGAGAGGAAGGGAA